rnacentral:rRNA from 1 species
AUUGAACGCUGGCGGCAGGCCUAACACAUGCAAGUCGAACGGUAACAGGAAGAAGCUUGCUUCUUUGCUGACGAGUGGCGGACGGGUGAGUAAUGUCUGGGAAACUGCCUGAUGGAGGGGGAUAACUACUGGAAACGGUAGCUAAUACCGCAUAACGUCACAAGACCAAAAAGGGGGACCUUCGGGCCUCUUGCCAUCGGAUGUGCCCAGAUGGGAUUAGCUAGUAGGUGGGGUAACGGCUCACCUAGGCGACGAUCCCUAGCUGGUCUGAGAGGAUGACCAGCCACACUGGAACUGAGACACGGUCCAGACUCCUACGGGAGGCAGCAGUGGGGAAUAUUGCACAAUGGGCGCAAGCCUGAUGCAGCCAUGCCGCGUGUAUGAAGAAGGCCUUCGGGUUGUAAAGUACUUUCAGCGGGGAGGAAGGGAGUAAAGUUAAUACCUUUGCUCAUUGACGUUACCCGCAGAAGAAGCACCGGCUAACUCCGUG